rnacentral:rRNA from 1 species
AGAGGGUGCGAGCGUUAAUCGGAUUUACUGGGCGUAAAGCGUGCGUAGGCGGCUUUUUAAGUCGGAUGUGAAAUCCCUGAGCUUAACUUAGGAAUUGCAUUCGAUACUGGAAGGCUAGAGUAUGGGAGAGGAUGGUAGAAUUCCAGGUGUAGCGGUGAAAUGCGUAGAGAUCUGGAGGAAUACCGAUGGCGAAGGCAGCCAUCUGGCCUAAUACUGACGCUGAGGUACGAAAGCAUGGGGAGCAAAC